rnacentral:rRNA from 1 species
ACUCCUACGGGAGGCAGCAGUGGGGAAUUGUUCACAAUGGGCGCAAGCCUGAUGACGCAACGCCGCGUGGAGGAUGAAGGUCUUCGGAUUGUAAACUCCUGUUGCUCGGGAAGAACGGCUCCGACCUAACACGUCGGAGUUUGACGGUACCGGGUGAGGAAGCCCCGGCUAACUCUGUGCCAGCAGCCGCGGUAAUACAGAGGGGGCAAGCGUUGUUCGGAAUUACUGGGCGUAAAGGGCGCGUAGGCGGCCUGCUAAGUCGAACGUGAAAUCCCCGGGCUCAACCCGGGAACUGCGUCCGAUACUGGCAGGCUUGAAUCCGGGAGAGGGAUGCGGAAUUCCAGGUGUAGCGGUGAAAUGCGUAGAUAUCUGGAGGAACACCGGUGGCGAAGGCGGCAUCCUGGACCGGCAUUGACGCUGAGGCGCGAAAGCCAGGGGAGCAAACGGGAUUAGAUACCCCGGUAGUCCUGGCCCUAAACGAUGAAUGCUUGGUGUGGCGGGUAUCGAUCCCUGCCGUGCCGAAGCUAACG